rnacentral:sRNA from 1 species
UCCCAUACUCCUCCGAAGCCGCUUGACC